rnacentral:rRNA from 1 species
AUUGAACGCUGGCGGCAGGCCUAACACAUGCAAGUCGAGCGGAACGGCGGACGGGUGAGUAAUGCCUAGGAAUCUGCCUGGUAGUGGGGGAUAACGUACGGAAGCGGACGCUAAUCACGCAUACUAGCAGAUGAGCCUAGGUCGGAUUAGCUAGUUGGUGGGGUAACGGCCUACCAAGGCGACGAUCCGUAACUGGUCUGAGAGGAUGAUCAGUCACACUGGAACUGAGACACGUUCCAGACUCCUACGGGAGGCAGCAGUGGGGAAUAUUGGACAAUGGGCGAAAGCCUGAUCCAGCCAUGCCGCGGGUGUGAAGAAGGUCUUCGGAUUGUAAAGCACUUUAAGCUGGGAGGCGUUACCAACAGAAUAAGCACCGGCUAACUUCGUGCCAGCAGCCGCGGUAAUUC